rnacentral:rRNA from 1 species
GCAUAUCAAUAAGCGGAGGAAAAGAAAACAACUGUGAUUCCCUUAGUAAUGGCGAAUGAAACGGGAAGAGCCCAUCGCGUAACUGCAGGUCAACUUGGCCUCGCGGAAUGUCGCGUUCGGGAGAGUCUCAUCGGGAGCCGGACGGCCAGUCAAAGUCCAACUUGACAGUCGCCAUUGCCCAUAGAGGGUGAUAGGCCCGUAAGGCGGCCGUCUGUUUCCGCUGACUUUUCCCUAGAGUCGGGUUGCUUGGGAGUGCAGCCCAAAGUGCGAGGUAAACUCCUCGUAAGGCUAAAUAUGACCCAGAGACCGAUAGCAAACAAGUACCGUGAGGGAAGAUUGAAAAGAACUUUGAAGAGAGAGUUCAAUAGUACGUGAAACUGUGUGGUGGUAAACGGAGGGGUUCUCGAAGUCUCUGUGGGGAACUCAACCUUGGUGUCGGGCGGUCAGGGUGUAUCCGAUCAGCAAUGACGGUGCUCUUUGUCUGGCUUGGCUCUCGGGUGCAUUUCCCCCGCAGUUUACGGCAGGAACCGUUUGGCUCGGACCAAAGGCCUCGGGUGAAGUUGUCGCUUAUGGUGGCAGCCCUGGGUGUCCUGGCUCUGCGCUCGACGGGUACGUGAGAGGACUCGUAUAGCGAGCAACGCUCUGUUGCGGUUCUCAUCUCUCUGCCGAGUAGGUCGGUGGCCCCUCCGACCCGUCUUGAAACACGGACC